rnacentral:snRNA from 1 species
AUCAAGUGUAGUAUGGGUAGUAUCGUAGUAUCUGCUCUUAUCAGUGUGACAACUGAUGUGUCUCCAACUGGAGACUUGCUUGUCACAUCUGGUAUUGCUGGGGAGAUGUCUUCAUGAGCUCGCUCAGACUCCUUCACGCAUUGCGCUGGCAUAGCACCAAGCCAGUGGCAGCAGUGGACAGCCA